CCCAAAACCAGAGUUGCAGCUUUUUGGCUCCCCCGAACUACCUGAAACCUUCUCACAUCAAAAUCCCCAAACUACCCCUCCGGACUCUCUCUCUCUCUCUUCUCUCUCUCCAGAAUCUCUGCAGAAAGGAGGGAAUUUACUCUCACGCAAUUAUCAAUACUACACGUCUGACUCUGUGCUCAUGGCUCCCUCUGCUUCUGCCCUCCUCAAUCACCGUCACAAUUAUCGCCCCCAGCAUUUACUCACAUUUACUAUACUGCCACUGCCCUCCCGUGCCCCUCCCUCUACCUGUAGUAGUAGUAAUCUACUCUACAAUCUACCUCUGUCCCCCCUUCAAAGCUCAACCAUCAAUGCCUCUGCUUCCCGUUUUAGGGUUAGGGUUUGUUCAUCCUCCUCCUCCGCCGCGUUUCAAGCCCUAAUUUCAGACUCCGUGGACUUCGAUGGGCUUCGAUUCCUCCAGUUUUGCAGGUUGGAAAUGAAAUUCUUUCUCCAGUUGGUCCUGAGAUUUGAAUAGUGUGGUUUCUUAAAACGCCUUGAAUUUUGAAACCAUGGAUGGGCGGCGGCAUUCUCUUGAUAUCCCAAUCUCGAAAGCAUUAUUAGCUCUUCGGAGAGUGAGGUCCCUUAGGGAUCCGUCAACUCACUCAAUGAGCAAAUUUUCUGCUUUAGUUGAUAAUUUGAAUUGGGAUACCAACUCGACUAAUGGGAUCACUCUAGGCUUUGUAAACGGUUGUGAAAUGGAUUGCAUUGGUAUGACGCCUCUUUUCGGAUCGAAAGAUUUAGGCUUAACUGGUCAAAGGCAGGAAAAUGUGAGAGACCUUGACUUGCAUAAUGGUUUCAGAAAGCCCAACUCUAACUUAGCAUUGUAUGAGAAUUCAACUUGGGUUGGAGACAGUGGGUCUGUUCCAAUUAUGUCCAAACAGGUUGUGGGUUCCAAUCAUUGUGGACCAAAUCAAGAAGUGGUUUGUGAAACCAAAUCAGUGAGUGAAAGAUGUUGCAAUGGAUAUCCAGAGAAAGGGUUGGACUUAACGUGCGUCCCACCUUCCGCGGGUUAUUUGGAAGGAGUCGAUUCAUGCAAUGAACCAAUUGAAGGAUCAUCGCGGGCAGAAAGAAUAGAUCUUAACCCAUCUAAUCGAAAAACAGGACACCAAAGGCGGAUUGGAUCAUCUAGAGCGGCAGUGGGUGAUAUCAUGAGUCGUGUUGGCAGUCCAUGCUUGUCAAGUCAUAGCACAUCAUUAUUUGGAAAUGAAGAUGUUAAUGCUGUUGAUGGAAAUCACCAUGGAUGUAGGAUCACCUGCUGUUGGUCAGGAACUCCUAGGUUUAGUGUAUCAAAUAUUCCAUCUGACCUAGAAGACCAGCCACUUUUAUCAGGGGGUGUAGGCGAGACACUUAUUUCUGGAGAAGGAAAGAGCUGGAAACACAUAAGCAAUGAAAUUUCUCCAUCUUUGGAGAGUCCUCAGAGUUUCAAUCAGAAAUUCUGGCCAAAAUCUUUUUGUGAAUUAGUGGGCCAAAAUGUAGUAGCAAGGUCUCUGUUGACGGCCAUCUCAAAUGCCAGGAUUAGUUCCUUUUAUCUCUUUCAUGGCCCCCGCGGCACAGGUAAGACUUCUGCGUCGAGGAUUUUUGCUGCUGCAUUGAAUUGUCUCUCACUUGAGGAGAAAAAACCCUGUGGUCUGUGCCGCGAAUGUGUUUUGUUCUUCUCUGGAAGGAGCCGAGAUGUCAAUGAAGUGGAUUCUGUGAGAAUCAAUCGUAAGGAUAGGGUUAGAUCUCUUAUUAAAAGUGCUAGUAUCCCUCCAGUCUCGUCAAGGUUUAAGAUUUUCAUAAUUGACGAGUGCCACCUAUUACGAGGGGAAACGUGGGCAACUUUUUUGAACAACCUUCGAAACCUCUCUCGGCAUUCUGUCUUUUUAUUGAUUACUCCCGAUCUCAAUAAAUUGCCACAAAGUGCAGUGUCGCGAUCACAAAAGUACCAUUUUCCGAAGAUAAAGGACAUUGAUAUUGGAAGCAGAUUAGGAAGUAUCUGUAUGAAAGAAGGACUUCAGUUUGAGCAGGAUGCUUUGGAUUUUGUUGCUUCUAAAUCUAAUGGUUCACUCCGUGAUGCUGAAAUGAUGCUUGAGCAACUUAGUUUACUUGGGAAAAGAAUUACUAUGUCAUUGGUUUACGAACUGAUUGGAAUUGUUUCUGAUGAUGAGUUGCUAGAUUUACUGGAUCUAGCUUUGUCAUCUGACAGCUCAAAUACAGUUAGAAGGGCCAGGGAGCUGAUGAGAUCAAGGAUAGACCCUAUGCAACUAAUAUCACAGCUAGCAAACCUCAUAAUGGAUGUCCUUGCUGGAAAAUGUCAGCCAGGUUCAUCUGAAGUUAGAAGGAAGUUUUUCAGUAGAUACACUACUGAAGCAAGCCUGCAGCAACUUAAUCAUGCAUUGAAAAUACUUUCUGAAACUGAGAAACAACUGAGGGCAUCUAAUAGUCAGACGACAUGGCUUAUCGUAGCUCUUUUACAAUUGAGUUCAGUGGGGAAUUCAUUAUCAGAUGCUCAUGAUUUGAGGAUGUGCGAAAAAUUUGUACAGCCAAGAGAUGGUGAUUUUUGUAGUGAAUCAUCUCCAAGUGAGAGUUCGAAACAUCUUGUCCCUUGUGCAUGCCAUAAUGGUGAAUCAUGUAAGUUGGGGAUGCAGGAUGGUAAAGAAACACUAGAAUCCAUAUGGCAGAAAGCCAUAGAGAUUUGUCAAUCCAAUUCACUGAAAAACAUUUUAAGGAAACAUGGGAAGCUGUCUUCUAUUUGCUUUGCCCAAGGUUUAGGAGUGGUUGAAUUGGAGUUUCAUCACCCUGACUAUGUAAAGAAGGCUGAGAAGUCAUGGAAAUUGAUUGCAAACGCACUUCAAUCUGUUCUGGGUUGUAAUGUGGAGAUGCGGAUCAAUCUUAUGCACUGUGUUCCUGCGACAAAAUAUACCAAAAAGAAGAUAUCCUUCAGCUUGUUCAGCUGUUCCCGCAAGUUGCACCAUGAGUCGACCACUGAAAACAGAAGUGAACCAUCAUGUCAUUCUGAUUCCACCUCUGAAAAGGCAAACGUAAGGGACAAAUAUGUUGAGACUUGUUCCCCCUAUUGUGGGUCCCAAUUCUCGAAUAACUGCUGUCAGAAAAAAGAAGCGAUGAUACGGAACAAUGAAGGAAAUGCACUAAGCAUUGGAAUGACAGGCAACUGCAAAUGCGAAGCUAUAUCUGCUCAAGAGGAGGAGAAACAGCCUGGCUGUUUAUUCAGAUCCCUGAAGCUCCAUAAAAAGAUGCAGUCAUCAGAGACUUCUCAGAGUACCUGUUUGAGGUUCCAACCAGAAAGUAAUCCUGAAUUGUCUAUUCCCAGAAGGUCUUCAAUUGAUACAUACUGCUGUACCAAUAGUUGUCAAAUGAACUGCUCCAGAGAUGAGAAUGGAUUGAGGGAACCCUGUGAACGGUGUUCAUAUUCCUUGAGCUUAUUUUGACUACAUGGUGUACAGAGUAGAGUCCUUGACCAGCAGGGCUUUGCCACAAUCGGCAUCCAAGUGUAGGAUUGUAAAUGAGGCAAAUUGAGCAAAUUAGUGGGUUAUCCAAGUUUCUCAAAUGAGCUUCCUUCUAGCCGAGCUCAAGUAGCUUGGUUCUCUUAUGCAAUAUGAGCUUAUCAAGCCGAAUUUUAGAAAAGCAAGAAGCCUCAAAAUGUGUUCCAGAUAGGCUUGGCAACUUUGGCAUCAACAACAAUGAGCUCACUCGCUGAAGUGUGUUUUACCUUGUGUGGCUGCUGGGUAAUUUUUCAUUACUGCAAAGGUACUUCAAAGAUUAACAUUCUCUUGCCCAUUAAGACGUGAGCAUUAUGUUCUAAAGGUCUUCUCUUAACUUCUGUUACGUAACCUCCUGUAUAUAGUUAACAGUGAUGACAGACCGACAGUUUUAUGAGACUUGUUGCCUUGAGCAUCAUGACUUGCUUGCUUAAUUCUACUUAUUUGGUGGUGCAAUUAAAAACCGGAAUCUUCCCAUGCGCAAAUGAUGGUCACUCUUCUGCAAUAAGAAGCCCUCCAUCGAAAAUUAUGCAGGGCAAGCUCUCGGAGGCAUCGUAGUGCAUGAUACGAAAAACAUCAAAUUUUGGAAUUUGAGCUUUUUAAUUUUUUGUCAAAAAUCUUCGACAGAUUUUGGGAUUCUAAGGAUUACUGAAACUUGGAAAGCCGUCUGAAAUUUAAUUGUUGGGAACUUGAGUUUGUAUAUUGUUAGUAAUAUGAAAGCUGAUUUCCAACCUUUGGCUUCAAACGCUAUUGUUCAUUUGUCAA